rnacentral:rRNA from 1 species
CAAUAGCGUAUAUUAAAGUUGUUGCAGUUAAAAAGCUCGUAGUUGGAUUUCUGGGAGGGUGCCAAUGUCCGUCGUCGUACGUGUUGCAGCGGCGCCCUUCCAUCCUUCUGUUAACGACUUUGGGCAUUCACUUGCCGGAGUCGGGCUCAGAUAUUUUACCUUGAGAAAAUUAGAGUGUUUCAGGCAGGCUAGGCCGGAAUACAUUAGCAUGGAAUAAUGGAAUAGGACUACGGUCUCUUUGUUGGUUUGAGGGACUGCAGUAAUGAUUAAUAGGGAUAGUUGGGGGCGAUUCGUAUUUAAUUGUCAGAGGUGGAAAUUACUUGGAGUUUAUUUAAAGACGGACUACUGCGAAAGCAUUUGCCAAGGAUGUUUUCUAUUGAUCAAGAACGAAAGUUAAGGGG